CAUCUCUUCCUUGUAGUUCUCAUCGAUUGAGAAUUCACCUUAAAACCUAUGUUUCAACCGAUGUGAAGGAAAAAAGAAGAUUAGGAAGAAGAAAUGGCAAGAUGCUAUCUUACGGGAUCAGUUGUACCGAAGUGGAUCAUUUGUAUUAUUUAGAAUAUACCCACACAAAGCUCAUUCAACUUUCGGUGAUGGAGGAGUAUGCCAACGCUCUAACAAAUGGAAUUCCUAAUAUUUUAGUAUGUCAACAUUUUGACUAAUAUUUUUUAAGUUGGAUGUUAUGAAUGAAUGAUAGUUGAGUUGGAUUUUUAUCAUUUAUCAAUGCACAUCGAUUUCUUGAUUUUUGUUGAA